AUUUAUGUAGUUUAGAAAAACAUUACAUUUUCACUGUAAAGACAAAGAAAACUUUCAUAAAUA
rnacentral:tRNA from 1 species